AAAAUGAAAUCUCACUAUUGCUCAUCUUAAUGAAUCCUUUUUCGUAGGAUUUACACAAUAAAAUUAGGUUUCUAGGUGAAAAGGAGUCAGUUAUACGAAAUGCAUUCGUGUUUGGAGGAAAUAUGUCACUCUAUGGUCGCCGUAGAAGCAUUAUUUCAAAACGCACAAACGAGGGUCUCUGGCUGUGGCAGGUCUGCCUCUUCUCCCUCACUCGUGGAUUGUAAGACGUGGGAGUGCAGAGUGCAAGACAUCAGCGUCAUUGAGGUCUCUCUUACAGAAGCAUUACAGAUGUGCAGAAUUUCACACGCAUUGUGCAACUGAAGUCCAAGUUUAUGCCAGAACUUGACAUCUGCUCCAGGCUGUCUGCUGAGUGCCAUAGGAAGGGAGGAGAAACAAGACAUAAGAUUAAGGAGAUCAUGGCUGCCAUUGAUCGGGUUAGUGAGAAGUUGUUUUGUGCCUCCCACUUUGAAAACCAAUAUUAGGCCAUGAGCUACAGGGCCGUAACAUGCACCUGUCAACGAAACAUUUUUGACCAUGCUGACAUGACGAAUUUGAAUGUUAACAUUUACAUUUUUGGGUUGCACUACCUGUUUCUACCCCAUGAAUAGAUUUGCAUUGAAGAUCAAUGUGUUCCAAAAAAUCUCUCAAUACAUUGGAAAUGCAUUAUAUGAACCUCUACAUGUGAUUACGUAAACACACCUUGUCACAUGCCCCACCUCUCUCUAAGU